rnacentral:rRNA from 1 species
CCUACGGGAGGCAGCAGUGGGGAAUAUUGCACAAUGGAGAAAACUCUGAUGCAGCAAUGCCGCGUGUGUGAAGAAGGCCUUAGGGUUGUAAAGCUCUUUCGCCGGUGAAGAUAAUGACGGUAGCCGGUAAAGAAGCCCCGGCUAACUCCGUGCCAGCAGCCGCGGUAAU